rnacentral:tRNA from 1 species
AAGGGUAUGGCUCAGCAGUAGAGUGCAUGCUGGCAUGCAUGAGGUCCUGGGUUCAAUCCCCAGUACCUCCA